GUAAAGUGACUGAUUUAAAGUGAUAAAUUGUAAAUUUAUUUAUGAGAUUUUCUCCUUUGCUA
rnacentral:tRNA from 1 species